GACGAGGGGUCCAAGCGUUGUUCGGAAUUAUUGGGCGUAAAGCGGGUGUAGGUGGCUCUAUAAGUCAGGAGUGAAAUCCCCGAGCUUAACUUGGGAAGUGCUUUUGAUACUGCAGAGCUUGAAUGUGGGAGAGGAUCGUGGAAUUCCAGGUGUAGUGGUGAAAUACGUAGAUAUCUGGAGGAACACCGGUGGCGAAGGCGGCGAUCUGGCCCAACAUUGACACUGAGGCGCGAAAGCUAGGGGAGCAAACAGG
rnacentral:rRNA from 1 species